AUCGCUUCUCGGCCUUUUGGCUAAGAUCAAAGUUUAGUUUAUGUUCUUAUCGAAUUAACCUUCGAUAGA
rnacentral:snRNA from 1 species